rnacentral:rRNA from 1 species
CCCUUAGAUGUUCUGGGCCGCACGCGCGCUACACUGAUGCAUUCAACGAGUCUAAAACCUGCUCUGAUAGGGGUGGGUAAUCUUUUGAAUGUGCAUCGUGAUUGGGAUAGAUGAUUGCAAUUUUUCAUCUUCAACGAGGAAUGCCUAGUAAACGCAAGUCAUCAGCUUGCAUUGAUUACGUCCCUGCCCUUUGUACACACCGCCCGUCGCUCCUACCGAUUGAAUGAUCCGAUGAAUAUCAUGGAUUGAGGAUGCAAGUAGGUUCGCCUAUCUUCAUCUUCGAGAAGUGAAGUAAAUCCUAUCAUUUAGAGGAAGGAGAAGUCGUAACA